CAAGUAUUUAGAAGUAUUUUAUCCAGGUCUGUCUGGUGAUAGCUGGAGCUAUAUAGAGGAUGGUUGGCCAGUAGGGUACGUUCUAUGCUAGAUGGUAGUAGAGGUGGUUAGUUGGCCAGUAGGAACGUUCUAUGCUAGAUGGGAGUAGAGGUGGUUAGUUGGCCAGUAGGUACGUUCUAUGUUAGAUGGGAGUAGAGGUGGUUAGUUGGCCAGUAGGAACGUUCUAUGUUAGAUGGGAGUAGAGGUGGUUAGUUGGCCAGUAGGAACGUUCUAUGGUAGAUGGGAGUAGAGGUGGUUAGUUGGCCAGUAGGAACGUUCUAUGUUAGAUGAGAGUAGAGGUGGUUAGGUGGCCAGUAGGAACGUUCUAUGGUAGAUGGGAGUAGAGGUGGUUAGUUGGCCAGUAGGUACGUUCUAUGUUAGAUGGGAGUAGAGGUGGUUAGUUGGCCAGUAGGAACGUUCUAUGUUAGAUGGGAGUAGAGGUGGUUAGUUGGCCAGUAGGAACGUUCUAUGGUAGAUGGGAGUAGAGGUGGUUAGUAGGAACGUUCUAUGGUAGAUGGGUGUAGAGGUGGUUAGUAGGAACGUUCUAUGGUAGAUGGGAGUAGAGGUGGUUAGUUGGCCAGUAGGAACGUUCUAUGGUAGAUGGGAGUAGAGGUGGUUAGUUGGCCAGUAGGAACGUUCUAUGGUAGAUGGGAGUAGAGGUGGUUAGUUGGCCAGUAGGAACGUUCUAUGGUAGAUGGGAGUAGAGGUGGUUAGUUGGCCAGUAGGUACGUUCUAUGUUAGAUGGGAGUAGAGGUGGUUAGUUGGCCAGUAGGUACGUUCUAUGGUAGAUGGGAGUAGAGGUGGUUAGUUGGCCAGUAGGAACGUUCUAUGGUAGAUGGGAGUAGAGGUGGUUAGUUGGCCAGUAGGAACGUUCUAUGGUAGAUGGGAGUAGAGGUGGUUAGUUGGCCAGUAGGAACGUUCUAUGGUAGAUGGGAGUAGAGGUGGUUAGUUGGCCAGUAGGAACGUUCUAUGGUAGAUGGGAGUAGAGGUGGUUAGUUGGCCAGUAGGAACGUUCUAUGGUAGAUGGGAGUAGAGGUGGUUAGUUGGCCAGUAGGGUACGUUCUAUGUUAGAUGGGAGUAGAGGUGGUUAGUUGGCCAGUAGGAACGUUCUAUGGUAGAUGGGAGUAGAGGUGGUUAGUUGGCCAGUAGGAACGUUCUAUGGUAGAUGGGAGUAGAGGUGGUUAGUUGGCCAGUAGGAACGUUCUAUGGUAGAUGGGAGUAGAGGUGGUUAGUUGGCCAGUAGGAACGUUCUAUGGUAGAUGGGAGUAGAGGUGGUUAGUUGGCCAGUAGGAACGUUCUAUGGUAGAUGGGAGUAGAGGUGGUUAGUUGGCCAGUAGGAACGUUCUAUGGUAGAUGGGAGUAGAGGUGGUUAGUUGGCCAGUAGGAACGUUCUAUGGUAGAUGGGAGUAGAGGUGGUUAGUUGGCCAGUAGGAACGUUCUAUGGUAGAUGGGAGUAGAGGUGGUUAGUAGGAACGUUCUAUGGUAGAUGGGAGUAGAGGUGGUUAGUAGGAACGUUCUAUGGUAGAUGGGAGUAGAGGUGGUUAGUUGGCCAGUAGGAACGUUCUAUGUUAGAUGAGAGUAGAGGUGGUUAGUUGGCCAGUAGGAACGUUCUAUGUUAGAUGGGAGUAGAGGUGGUUAGUUGGCCAGUAGGAACGUU